rnacentral:rRNA from 1 species
GACGAACGCUGGCGGCGUGCUUAACACAUGCAAGUCGUACGGUAAGGCCCUUUCGGGGGUACCCGAGUGGCGAACGGGUGCGUAACACGUGAGUAACCUGCCCACAACUUUGGGAUAACGCUAGGAAACUGGGGCUAAUACUGGAUAUGUACUCCUGCUGCAUGGUGGGGGUUGGAAAGCUCCGGCGGUUGUGGCUGGACUCGCGGCCUAUCAGCUUGUUGGUGGGGUAGUGGCCUACCAAGGCGGCGACGGGUAGCCGGCCUGAGAGGGUGACCGGCCACAGUGGGACUGAGAUACGGCCCAGGCUCCUACGGGAGGCAGAAGUGGGGAAGAUUGAACAAUGGGCGCAAGCCUGAUGCAGAACCGCCGCGGGCGGGAGGACGGUCUUCGGGUUGUAAACCGAUUUCAGCAGGGACGAAGCUUUUUGUGACGGUACCUGCAGAAGAAGCACCGGCUAACUACGUG